rnacentral:tmRNA from 1 species
CUCCCUAGCUUCCGCUCUUAAGACGGGGAUCAAAGAGAGGUCAAACCCAAAAGAGAUCGCGUGGAGGCCCUGCCUGGGGUUGAAGCGUUAAAUCUAAUCAGGCUAGUCUGGUAGUGGCGUGUCUGUCCGCAGGUGCCAGGCGAAUGUAAAGACUGACUAAGCAUGUAGUACCGAGGAUGUAGGAAUUUCGGACGCGGGUUCAACUCCCGCCAGCUCCACCA